rnacentral:lncRNA from 1 species
AAUCAACACUCCACUCAGACAAUGCCCAGACCUCCAGAAACCAUGUGUCAAGCUCGGAUUGCCUUAGACAGGUGCAAUUUAAGAACAGCUUUCAUCCUCUUUUCUCUCAUAUUGUCACACUAUGUGUUCUGACUUCUGGCUCCUUUCCUCACAAGAAGCUCACCCAGCUGGAACUCUUAUGGGACCUUGGCACCAGAGACCACAAAUUCCUCUUUGAAGUUUUCUAACAGCAACAAUGGUAUUUCUGACUUGGCUUUCUUGUAUUUCUCUCACGUUAACAAAAUUGGUUCAGCAUCUACCAUGGGCUACAUGCUGAGCUACAGAGUUUCGCUCUGUCGCCCAGGCUGGAGUGCAGUGGCGCGCGAUCUCGGUUCACUGCAAGCUCCACCUCCCGGGUUCACGCCAUUCUCCUGCCUCAGCCUCCUGAGUAGCUGGGACUACAGGCGCCCGCCACCACACCCAGGAACAAAACCCAUCAGAAGAUGUCAGAAGAUAAGGAUUUUUGUCCUGAUGCUACACUUACCAGCUGUCCCUCAGUGUUCUACUUCUUAAAAAAAGAGAGAUGGAUAAACAGAGGCAACCCGAGGAUAAAGGCCUUGCUCAGUGUCACACAUUUCAGUCACUAAAUAAGACACAAUGGAUGCCAGUAUUCUCAUCCCCUCACAAAUAAAGAGCCUUCAAGCUCUUGCAGUCAACAAGAACUUUUGGAAUGAUUUCACUGCCUGAAAAGGCAGAUACAUAGGUGACACCCACAAAUAGGAAGAAAAUCAACCUGAACCUGAGUGUGUGGGCUCACUGACUCUAAGCAGUAGAGACAGAAGAAAAAGUUUUAGCAAAGAAGGGUUCUGAAAGAAAAUAAAUAUAGCUCGUUAUCAAGUGCUGUUUUUACACAGUAAAACAUGGGCAAAAUUACUCUUCUUUAAGUAGUAAUUCUUAUCUCUUGAUUAAGUCACCUACUCAUUCAUUUAAUAAAUACAUACUGAUUGUUUUC